CUUCCCUCACCUUCGCCUUCCCCCUCUCCUGGCUCCGCCCCCGGCGCAGGCCCCACCCCCAGCCUUAACCUCCCCCCCCCCCCCCAGACAAACCCUGCGCCCGAGAGCCUAGGGCCCCCAUUACCUCCCUUACCCUUUUUCCUCACUAACUGCCCCUUCAGUCCCUCCUCCCCAUCUUCUCUCGCCCCUCCCGCACCCACCCAUCCCCUCUUCCAGGCCCCCCCCCAGGCGCGAGGCGGAAAUGGGUCACCGACCCGCGGGUGGAAUGGGCGGCCUGGGGUUACUGGGACGACGUCCGAGCUUCCAGCACCGGCUUCCAGCCUAGAGCUCUCCUCGAGCUGACCGAGGGUCUCCACCGCCUCCCACCCCCACUCCUUUCUCCCCUCCCCA